UACGGGGGGUGCGAGCGUUGUCCGGAAUCACUGGGCGUAAAGGGCGCGUAGGUGGUUUGAUAAGGGUGUGGUGAAAGCCCGGGGCUCAACCCCGGGUCUGCCGUGCCGACUGUCAAACUCGAGGGCUGUAGAGGCAGACGGAAUUCCGGGUGUAGCGGUGGAAUGCGUAGAGAUCCGGAGGAAGACCGGUGGCGAAGGCGGAUCUCUGGACAGUUACUGACACUGAGGCACGAAGGCCAGGGGAGCAAACGGG
rnacentral:rRNA from 1 species